CUCACACACUGCAUUUUGGAGAUUUAUGGUCAUGGUUUUGCCUUCGAUGUGUUCACCUAUUCAUUCCAUUGCCACCUGAUGGUAGAAUCUUAUGUUCCUAACUCAUUGUCUAGCAGUUUUAGUCAUGAGAUGCGGGGCAUUGGCCUGAAGCUUUGAUUGGCUGGAAAGGUGAUGAAAUUUGGAGAUCUUUUUACAAGGUAAUGGGUUGGAAUUAGGAAUUCUCCAUACAGUCAAACUGCAUUCUUCCAGUAUCUCAUGUGUCCAGUAUGGUAGACUUCUAUCCUGAAUUUCUGUUAGUUAUGUAUACGCCGAACUCGUUUAUGAUGUUAGGGCGCAUCUUUGUCUGCUAUUGUUAUAAUCUUUGAGUGGUCUACUCUGCAUUUUUUUUUAACAUGAUGUUAGAAUUAGGAAUCCUCUGCCAGCCUACUGAAUCAAGCAGGUCCUGUUUACCUUCAAGAAAUUUGGCAACUAGUGGAAGCGCCCAAUUGGUAUGAAGUUGAAGAGGUCUAAUAGGAUGAUUUUUUAUCGCCAUGAUAAUCCACUAGUGAAUCACAAUUAGAAUGAAAAUGAUGCUACUUGUACUCCUUCCGUGAAAAAAUUGUUACUCAUACUGAAUUUGCCGUGCAUUGUACUGUGUAUAGAUAAGUUUAGUAUAUUGCAGAUUGUUAAUUUGCUAUGUAGAUGGUCUAAAAACUUCUUUGUGGGUAUUCAGAAAAGGCGAACCACCAAAUAGUUCUAUAGUUAUUUCUGGUGUGACUGGAACCAUUUUGUAAAUUGCUCACUUAAAUGGAACCUUCAAGUGCAUCACUAGGAUCAACAUCUCUCCGUAGAAUGUGGCAAUCUGAAACUUCUGAAUAAUGUCUAGCUAUUGCUCUAAUCUUUGAGUGGUUUUCGAUGUAGCUGCGGCUUCUGCAGAGGUUCCCUUGGAGGAGAACUUUGGUUCAUCUUCUGCGUUGAUGAGGGCUUGGGAAUGUAGCUGUAUCUUUCUAAUUUCUUCUGCAGUCAUACAAAUUGUGUGUUGAAGCAACUUCUGAUGGUGCAAUUACACUUCUAAAAAAUUUCAACAUAUUGGCCACAUCAAUAUAUAUGCUGGUGCCCGCUUUGCUCACACACUGCAUUUUGGAGGUUUAUGGUCAUGGUUUUGCCUUUGAUGUGUUCACCUAUUCAUGCCAUUGCCACCUGAUGGUAGAAUCUUCUGUCCUAAUUCAUUGUCUAGCAGUUUUAGUCAUGAGAUGCGGCGCAUUGGCCUGAAGCUUUGAUUUGCUGGAAAAGUGAUCUAAUUUGGAGAUCUUUGUACAAGAGCAUAUAUCUUAAUUGUGUGUGAUUUGUGAUGGAACGAGAAAUAGAGCCGAUCUGUACUGAAAAAGGAGGCCUGAAGAUCCAAAGAGAGAAAAGCUUCAGUAUCAGAGGGAGUUGUACGAGCUGGAGCAUUCCGCCGAUCAGAUGCGCCUUCAGUAGCCCCUGGACCAAUCAAUUCUUGUUUCUCCGCGGACUGUGGCAAUUCUUACGUGCGGUAAAUGCAUAUGAGGGAGGGCUGUGUAGUACGUGCUGGAGCUUUCUGUACCGGUAUAGCCAAUAACUCGCAAUUACGCUCGUCGAUCAGUUGUUAUGCAGUUGGACAGUCCCAUCGACCGUGCUGCUGAAGUCAGCUGUAAUGUCAUGGCAUGGCAUGAGAAGAACGUUUUCUUGACAGGACGUGUUUGUAGGAACAAUUUGUGAACCACAGCUUAAAUGCUAGGGGCCUGCUGCACUUAAUCGAACAAGGGGAAAUGAAGAGGGGGAUUUUAAUAGAAGAAAUCGUAGCGGAUGGCCAGCAAUAACUCCUCCUCAACGCACAUCCUGACAAGUCCAUUGCUCCUCGGUAACACAGAGAGAGGGAGGGAGGGAAGAAGAUUAGAGGAAGACGCAGACUGAUGAAGCAAAGACCUGGCAUUGGCCGGGCGUAGCUGGGUGGCUGUGGGCGGGCCCAUGAUUGUAAAUGUGCGCCUGUCCCGUUGCUCCAGCCUCCAGCCUCCAGCAGCCAGCAGGGAGGCCAGGUGCUUGAUCAUUGCGCCGGGCCCAUCCGUCCGUCCACGCGUUCCCGGGGAUCGAUGCAAGGUGACAGUGGCGAGUACGUGUGCGCGUGGGAUGGCGCAGCAGCCCCAAAGUUGUACUACGUGGUGGCUUGAUGAGAUGAGAAGAAGGCGCUGCCGCCUGCCGGUGGAUCUCGCAGAGUCGUGCGGGGCUGAGGUGGUGGUCAUGAAAGGUGUACUUUCGUCGCCGGCCGAGGCGAAUUCCAAUUCCAAUGGCCGAAGACGGCGACGGGUCCAGAGUCCAGACGCCCAGCGGCGUGGAAGAGAGCGCAGGCUUUCGAUGGUGUGAUGCGUGGUUCGUCCCUUUCUUCUUCGUUCGUUUCUGCUCCUUGUUCUGUGUUUUUCCAUGGAUGGUUUGCUGAGGAUGAGUUGCGCGUCCAUGCAGGCGGCACGGGGCGUGACCGGGUCUGGGACCGAUACCCGAUGCCCCUGCUUGCCGUGCGCCAUGGGAUGGGGUUUACGUACGUACGGGUUGAGCCGUUGCAUUAAUCUCAUGUACUAGCUGCACUGUAGUGCUUUCAACAUGCAUUUACGUAAUUGAUCUCAUGUACUAGCUGUACGUGCGUGUAUGUACGUACGUGCAUUAAUCUCAUGUACUAGCUGAGGACCUUCCGGUUUAGGGAUUGACACAGGUACGUAAUUGAUCAAGUCAGGUGAAUCGACCUAUGUUGAUCAUUCGUUCAUGUUGCCACUGAGCCACUGAUCAUGUGAGAGCGAUACCACUUGACCUCUUCCAGCCGAGCGAAUCCAUUCAUCAACUGAGAAAGGCACAAGUCCAUCAUGCCUGGGCAUGGCAUGGGAGAUGCGAGUCGUCCCGGAAACGGUUUGUUCGUUUCAUCAAAGCGAGUCGAGUCAAUGCCGGCCCGCCCAUGCAACUAUGCAAGGAAGAAUUGAGGCCGCCAACUUUG